rnacentral:rRNA from 1 species
CACGUAGGGACCAAGCGUUGUCCGGAUUCAUUGGGCGUAAAGAGCGCGCAGGCGGUCGUUCAAGUCGAGUGUGAAAGCCCCCGGCUCAACUGGGGAGGGUCAUUCGAUACUGAUCGACUCGAAGGCAGGAGAGGGUAGUGGAAUUCCCGGUGUAGUGGUGAAAUGCGUAGAUAUCGGGAGGAACACCAGUGGCGAAGGCGACUACCUGGCCUGUUCUUGACGCUGAGGCGCGAAAGCUAGGGGAGCAAACGGG